rnacentral:rRNA from 1 species
UACAGAGGUCUCAAGCGUUGUUCGGAUUUAUUGGGCGUAAAGGGCGCGUAGGCGGCGGGGUAAGUCGGGUGUGAAAUCUCAGGGCUCAACCCUGAAACUGCACUUGAUACUGCUCUGCUUGAGGACUGGAGAGGAGACUGGAAUUCACGGUGUAGCAGUGAAAUGCGUAGAUAUCGUGAGGAAGACCAGUGGCGAAGGCGGGUCUCUGGGACGGUACUGACGCUGAGACGCGAAAGCGUGGGGAGCGAACAGG